UUAAGACAGGACUUAAUUGUUGGAAUUUCUCAACCUGAGGGUAAACUUAGUACAACGAACAAUAUGUUAAAAUGAAAACACCGUCCACUUACUUCCUGCUUUUACCCCAUUUUUUUCUUGUUUUUUUUUCUCGUGUUUCCUUCUUCCUUUUCCACGUGUGUAUUUGUAGAAGAUUGUAAACAUCAGGUGAUGUUUAUGUAAAAAGGAGAACUCGGCAGCAAUACGGAACAUAGUGUCCAAAAUUGCUAUAAAUUUGGAACUUUCUACUUUUCUCAUUAUAAAUCCGUCACACCCUAUUUGUGAAUAAAAUGGAUAUUUAUUCACUAAACUAGAAAUUCUGGGUAAUUUAAAAUGGAAUUGCCAAUUUUAGGAAU